UUCCUUGCAUUAGCUUCUCAAUCUAUGAUGAUCAUAAAUAUAUUCUUAAAUGUUUCGUUCCAUCUUCCCCUUAAUACUUCUCUAGAGCUCUAUAUCUAAAUCUAAAUCCACCCAAAAUCAAACUCUACUCUGAAAAGCUACAUUCAUGGCCUAUGAAAUCCUCCGGAAAAUCUAUUAUAUACAGCUCUCAUGUCUUUAUCGAUGGCUUCUCCUUUUCUUCCAUGAUCUGCAUCCCUAAUUAUCGUCUUCGAGAAGAUAAGGCCUGCUAUUCUGAAUCCUUUAUUUUUCUUGUGCUGAAACUCCAGUAUUAUCAGGUUUGGGUUUAAAAAGACAGAAUUUGCAUGCUGGCAGACGGAUGCUGAUUCUAUCGGUGAUUUCAUUAUUAGUUUCAGGAUCUGCUAUUAUCGACCAACUAGGCAUUUUGUGACAAUUUUCAGGAUAACAAAGAUGCAUGUGGUGACAACAAUUUAAAUGGUAGUUUAGUAUGGGGUUCUAUUCAUCAUUCUUGGUUUCAGAUCAUGUUACUGUGUCGAGAAGAACCCAAAGUCCCAUAAGCAAAGCAAUAUAUAAGGGAAGGAGAAGGGAGAGACUGAUCCUCAACUAAUAAUUCCUAGAGGAACAUGUAUUAGUUAGCAUCUUAAGUGCAUGACAAAGGACUUGCAGAUCCAUCCAGAGCGAAUUGUUGCGAAUCAGAUAACAACUAAGAUUCUUAUUUCCAUGUUUGGUUCUCUCUUACACAUGUUGAGGGGAUAGCUAGAUGUGCAAGGAUAGGUGGCUUGGUGUUCACGCCUUCUUAGAAAGAUGGAAGACCAAGAAGGAAGUUGAGAGAUACCGUGACUGAGAGCUUACUAAUGAGACGCGACCAAUUUGGGUAAGGACUACUUGAUGCUCAAAAUGAAUUAAAGAGUAUAUUUGUAUUUGUUGCAGCUCUUGACCUCUAAGGAGGUGACAACAGAAGAGUACAAUGAGUUUUACAUAAAAGCUUUCAAUGAGUACUUGGACCCACAGGCAUUAACCCACUUCACAACAGUACGUUGGAGGGAAAACAUCUGUUGGAAUAGUAUAUACAUGAAACUACCCAUGCAGCGUGAGGGCGAGUUUAGAUCCAUCCUUUAUGUGCCACCAGUGUCACCAAUGGGGAAGCAUGACGUGGUCAAGUAAAAGACAAAGAACAUAAGGCUCUAUGGAAAACUAUUUUUCAAGUUAAUUUGACUGGAAACUGGUGAGAGAAGUAUCCCUUGGUGUGGCCUUUCAAGAUAUAUAUGUUUUUCUAUUUCGUAUUGAUAUCCGCUUUUCUGGUGCUUUGUGAACAGUUUCUGAUAGAAUAGGAUAUUCUGUUAUAUUCUGUUAUUAGAUAAGUCACAAUAUUGUGUAGAUAUUGUAGUUCCGAUAUUCUUGUAACAGUCUUGGGUAUAUAUACCAUAUCAA